rnacentral:rRNA from 1 species
UACGUAGGGUGCAAGCGUUGUCCGGAAUUAUUGGGCGUAAAGAGCUCGUAGGCGGUCUGUCGCGUCGGCUGUGAAAACCCGGGGCUCAACCCCGGGCCUGCAGUCGAUACGGGCAGACUAGAGUGCGGUAGGGGAGACUGGAAUUCCUGGUGUAGCGGUGAAAUGCGCAGAUAUCAGGAGGAACACCGGUGGCGAAGGCGGGUCUCUGGGCCGUAACUGACGCUGAGGAGCGAAAGCCAGGGGAGCAAACGGG